CUGAAAAUGGGUGGUAAAUUCCCUCUNAAGCUAAUUAUAGGCGAGAGACCGAUAGCGAACAAGUACCGUGAGGGAAAGAUGNAAAGAACUUUGGCAAGAGAGUUAAACAGUACGUGAAAUUGCUGAAAGGGAAACGCUGGAAGUCAGUCGCGUUGGCUAGGAAUCAACCUUACUCUUUUGUAGGGCUUACUUCUUAGUUGACGGGCCAACAUCAAUUUAGAUUGCUGGAAAAAGGCUUAGGGAAUGUGGCACCUUCGGGUGUGUUAUAGCCCUAGGUUGUAUACAGUGGUUGGGAUUGAGGAACGCAGCACGCCGAAAGGUUGGGUCUUUUGACCAGACUCGUGCUUCGGAUGUUGGCAUAAUGGCUUUCAUCGACGCGUCUUGAAAUACGGACCAAGGAGUCUAACAUGCCUGCGAGUGUUUGAGUGGAAAACUCGAGCGCGUAAUGAAAGUAAUUAGUUGAGAUCUCUGUCAUGGAGAGCAUCGACGCCCGGACCUGAUGUAUACUGACGGUUCUGCGGUAGAGCAUGUAUGUUGGGACACGAAAGAU
rnacentral:rRNA from 1 species